UUACGGCCAUAUCAUGUUGGCUUACACCGGUUCUGGUACAAUCACUGAAGUUAAGCAAUGUUGAGCCAGGACAGUACCUAGAUGGUGACCGCUUAGGAAUACUAGGUGCUGCAA